AGUGAACGCUGGCGGUAGGCCUAACACAUGCAAGUCGAACGGCAGCACAGUAAGAGCUUGCUCUUACGGGUGGCGAGUGGCGGACGGGUGAGGAAUACAUCGGAAUCUACUUUUUCGUGGGGGAUAACGUAGGGAAACUUACGCUAAUACCGCAUACGACCUACGGGGGAAAGCAUGGGAUCUUCGGACCUUGCGCGAUUGAAUGAGCCGAUGUCGGAUUAGCUAGUUGGCGGGGUAAAGGCCCACCAAGGCGACGAUCCGUAGCUGGUCUGAGAGGAUGAUCAGCCACACUGGAACUGCGACACGGUCCAGGCUCCUACGGGAGGCAGCAGUGGGGAAUAUUGGACAAUGGGCGCAAGCCUGAUCCAGCCAUACCGCGUGGGUGAAGAAGGCCUUCGGGUUGUAAAGCCCUUUUGUUGGGAAAGAAAAGCAGCAGGUUAAGACCCCGCUGUUCUGACGGUACCCAAAGAAUAAGCACCGGCUAACUUCGUG
rnacentral:rRNA from 1 species